CCUACGGGUGGCAGCAGUGAGGAAUAUUGGUCAAUGGGCGGAAGCCUGAACCAGCCAAGCCGCGUGAGGGAGGAAGGUACAGAGUAUCGUAAACCUCUUUUGUCAGGGAACAAAGGCGGGGACGUGUCCCCGGAUGAGUGUACCUGAAGAAAAAGCAUCGGCUAACUCCGUGCCAGCAGCCGCGGUAAUACGGAGGAUGCGGGCGUUAUCCGGAUUUAUUGGGUUUAAAGGGUGCGCAGGCGGUCUGUUAAGUCAGCGGUCAAAGCCCGGGGCUCAACCCCGGCCCGCCGUUGAAACUGGCAGUCUCGAGUUGGAGAGAAGUAUGCGGAAUGCGCGGUGUAGCGGUGAAAUGCAUAGAUAUCGCGCAGAACUCCGAUUGCGAAGGCAGCAUGCCGGCUCCACACUGACGCUGAGGCACGAAAGCGUGGGUAUCGAACAGGAUUAGAUACCCGAGUAGUC
rnacentral:rRNA from 1 species